rnacentral:lncRNA from 1 species
CGGUUUUCGCCUCAGACACGGAGGUCUUAACUGCCUCAUGUAACGUUACUGAACGGUGGAUGUACUUUUAAUAUAACGUCUGUGAAUGUAUUUUGUCAUAUUUACAUAAGAUUUUACAUUAUCUGUACUUUUUGAGGCGUUAACAGACAGUUAUGGUCACGGUCAGGCUCAUGUUAAUUUGUCUUUUUUCACGGUUAAACUGAAUGUAUGUUUGUCUCCUAAAGGAAACGGCAUUGUGUAGUAAAGACUAGCAUAAUUAUUUUGAGGCUGUUGAAGUGGUAACUGUUAAAAGUAUGUUUUACAUGUAAUAUUUCUUGUCGAGCUCCUGUCUUCAUUGUCCUCGCGCUGAGAGUUAAAGACACAGAAGCUGUUUGUGUGAGGAGUCACAGACCUGUGUGAGGAUGAGGAGGAGGUGUUCUUCAGAAGAGAGGGACAGACGGUUUAAGGAGAGUAAACUUCAGAAUAACAUCAAGUUAUCUUAUUAUUUUAGUCUUCGUAAAAAUAGUUUUUUUUUUUUUUUAGAUGUUGAAAUCCAGAGACAAGAUAACUUCAUUCUUUUGAGACUGAUGUAAGUUAAGUUAUUAUUACUUUUUUUUUUUAGAAAAUUGUUUCGGUUGUGUCCUGCCCGUUAACUUCACAUUUUGAUGCAAAAACAAUAUAUGUGUAUUAUGUGUGUGUAUGUAUGUGUAUAUAUAUAUAUAUAUAUAUGUAUGUAUGUAUAUGUUAAUAUUUUAUUGAAACCAUUGAUGUCCCUCUUUGCAGAACUCAAACUAACUGGAGUUAAGGACACAGAAGUCUGCUUGUGUGAGGAGGAGGUUUUCUCAGCUUCUUCUGAAGAGAGGGAAAGAUCGUUUAAGAUGUUAAAAGCAAGAGACAUGGGAGAGCAUCAUUCCUUUGAGAUUUUAUAAAUAAAACCAACUUUGUAGUUGUCUGAUUUGGAGAGUCAUUUAUUCUUGGUCUUCACUCUUAAAGGUAAAGUUCACACAAAAAAAUCAUUUACUUGCCCUCAAGUCAUUCCAAACCUAUAAGACUUUUGUCUGUCUUUACAACAUAAAUUAAUAUAUUUUUAGUUUUCUCAUAAUAUUUGUUAAUCCAUUUAUAGUUUAGAUAAUCAGUAUUUUCAAGCUUCAUAAAUAGAGUUAUUGUAGAAGUAAAUUCUGAUAUUUAUAUAUGAAUACAUCUUAAAUUAUAUGAUAGCAAACAUGUAUGUUCAAAAUAAAAUACUGGUCUCCCAGACUAGCAAUGGAGGACACAAAAAGAGAAUAUUAAAUAUAUUCAUAUGUUUUCCAAAAAAUGAGCAGAGUUUGUAUUAGUCUGGAAAAACAUGGGGAGAGUAAAUUAUGAACAUUUUAAUUAUUUGGUGAACUAACGGUUUGAAGAGCAGCCCUCCAUGUACAUGAAUAUUGUGAGGUAUGUGAAUGUCAUGUCUGUUUUAAUGUUUCAGUAAAGAAGCUUUCUGAAAGCAAUAUUUAUUCAAACAAUAUCACCUGCCCUCACAGUAGUGCUGCCAUUAUAGCAUUCUGGAGCGCUGUGGCUCCAGACAUUAAAGGGGGGGGUGAAAUGCUCGUUUUCACUCAACAUCCUUGUAACUGCCUGAUGCCAGUUUAUUUCUGUAUUAGCACUUUUACUAUUCUGUUUCUGUAUUUGAAUAUUAACAGCAAGACGGAACUAAUUAUUGGUUCCACCCGGAGGUUUCCGGCCGGGCGCUUUUGAGCGACGCACUGAGAAAAACUUUACGGCGAAAGAGACUGAUUAUUCCGCUGUUGUAGUGUUUAAGUGGAUAAAUUUACAAGAAAAUAGACAGAAGAUGAUAUGGGAGAUCUGAAAGGAUGUUUAGCACCUCUUUGUGAUAAGCAGCAAUGAGGUUUGUUAACUGUUAAUUUUACUAUAAGGGUGUUUGUGUUGAUAUAUGUUUUCAUGUGCCAUUUUUUCUGAUGUAUAACAUAUAAAGUAUCUAGCUGUAAAUGGCUGGAUUGUAACACAAUAUGUUGAGACAUGCAUAUAGCAUUAUUUUGUUAAUUUGUUAAUUUUCUUUCUUCAAACCAGUUCUCACGGGUUGACCAACAUUAAAGCCCUGUAUUUUAAUCAAGACCUCUUGCCUCAUGCCUGUCACUGGGGGAGCUACAAUCCUGUUAAUCUUGAGUACCUAUAGAGUAGUACUGCAGCCUUCACACCUCCAAAAAGUAUUUAGUGUUAUUAUAUUCAUAAGAGAAAGAUAGUCUGUACCGAUUUUUCCCGGAAAAACACGAGCGCCUGGAGGUGUGACCUGUGGGCGGAGCUAAAGAAUCACGAGCGCCAGUUGCGUUGAGAAGCUGUGAAGGCUGAAACUGAACGAGAGCAGCAGCAGCAAGGACUCGCUCCGAGCGGGGCUCGAACCCAGGUCUCUAGGCGGACGCACUAACAAGGAGGCAGAGAUAUUUUAAGCAGUUUUACUCACCGCCUGUGGUUCCAGCACACAAUCGUGACCCUUUUUCGUUGGGAUUGCAUCAUCCUUAAGAAAUAAACGAUACGCAAAUCCGUCGUCAUACUGGGCUUUGUUUGUAAAACAAGCAUUUUAGAAAUGCAGGGAACAAACACAAACACUUGCACAACUCCGUUCAUGCUCUGUAAAAAUAAACUCCAUCCACUGGUCCCUUAAUGCUGUUUCUCUUUUGGUAAUCUGUGCAGGGUUGUCUUGCCCUGGCAACCAAAAACACACUUCUUUUGUGACAUUUCGCGACGCUCUCGCUCUGAUCAGUGAUUGUCUGUGCACAGCCUCUCUCUGCUCUGCUAUAUGGGAGCACGAGCUCUUCCGGCAAACGUGCCCUCAGGACCCAUAUAAGGAAAUUCCGCUCCAUCUAACGUCACACAGGAGCCAUACUCGGAAAAAAACUUUCCGAAACUUGUGACAAAGGAGUAUUUUUGGAACAGAAAUACUCCUUCAAACGUACAACUUAAUUUUUGAAACUUUGUCCAUGUUUAGCAUGGGAAUCCAACUCUUUAACAGUGUAAAAAACUCAGUAUGCAUGAAAUAGCAUUUCACCCCCCCUUUAAACAACCGCACAGUGUGUUGAACCUUUAAAACUGAUUAUUUACCUAUCCUUACGGAUGUGAAUACACCUCUACCUGAAAAUUGAUAGUUUAAUUAAAUGUUAAAUUUUUUCAAAUGUGUUUCUCUUAGGCCACUGAUGAAGAACAGGUGGUGACUGGGAUGAAUGCUGGUCAGAGAGGAGAAUCUUCUUUCCCCUAAACUGAUGCAGCGGUGGUUUUAAAGGAGGACGCUGCCCUGGAUGAUGUAGAAGAUGUCACAUAUGCUGAUGGGGUUUCUUCAUGAUUACAUCAAUUAUGCUAAAGAGAUCAUGAAAAUUGACCGUUAUGCAUGAUCUGUAUUCAUGGACUAUGAAACAAACUGUAAGUGUAUAAUUUGUAAAAAAAAAAAAAAAAAAAAAAAAAAAAAAGUUAAAUGCUUUUUCUGUGUUGUUUAGUAGAAGAGUUUACACUCUGUCAUUCAUACACCUGCUCACAUUCUUUCACUCAGACACACACGCGCGUCUGUUAAAUGUUAUAAUAUCAAAGUUAAUGUUGUGAUUUAUUUGUGUACUGUCAUGCCAGAAUAGUUGGAAAAAAACCUAACUAAUUGUAAAUUUAUUGUGUUUUCGUAUAUUUUUAUACAAUAUGUCCAAUUUGAUCUUAAGUUAUAUUCAUCAAAUGUUCAAUGCUUUAUGAACUCUGUAGCUGUUAAUGCCAUCCUUUUCUGCAUUUCUUCUAACAUGUUACUUUUUGACUUUUCUCUUGUUUUAAAUAAAUAUUUUCCUUUUGAUAAUUAUUUGUGUAAAAGUGAUAUUUAAAAUGAACAACAUUUGUAGGUUUAAUGCCUAGCUCAAUUUGGGUUAAUUUUAACGUAGAAAUGCAUUGUUUCCCCACAUGGCUGCACUCUGCGAGUUUAUUUUCUGCCAGCAAGGAGGCGCUAAGAGCAGGAGAGGUAGGUUUCUCCGGUAACGGCUGCAGAGCGGCGCUGAGCUCACAAACGCUGCCUUAUCAAGCACAUGCGAAAUGAUAUCGAACAUUUUCUAAAUACAGUAGUUUUCCUUCUGAAAUACAGUGAUAAAAAACACCCGCUCUGGUUUUUGAAACCCUGCAAUAUAGUCAUUUUAAACCAUAAAAAAGGCAACCCAGCAGGCUGGGUUAAAUAUGAUAACC